GACGAACGCUGGCGGCGCGCUUAACACAUGCAAGUCGAGCGAUAACCAUGGCUUCGGCCAUGGGGAGAGCGGCGAACGGGUGAGUAACACGUGAGUAAUCUGCCCUCGACACUGGGAUAGCCCGGGGAAACCCGGAUUAAUACCGGAUAGCCUCUCGAGCUUUCGGGCUCGUGAGAAAAGAUGGCUUCGGCUUUCGGUUGAGGAGGAGCUUGCGGCGGAUUAGCUUGUUGGUGAGGAACGGCCCACCAAGGCGACGAUCCGUAGCUGGUCUGAGAGGACGGAUCAGCCACACUGGGACUGAGACACGGCCCAGACUCCUACGGGAGGCAGCAGUGGGGAAGUCUUGCGCAAUGGGCGAAAGCCUGACGCAGCGACGCCGCGUGAGGGAAGAAGG
rnacentral:rRNA from 1 species